ensembl:lncRNA
GAAAGAUAGAAUACAUUUUUAUUCUAACAAUAACACACUGGAUUUGAGUAGAAUGCAAGUCAGCUGAUAAUAUGGACAGUUUGGUACAGAACAAAGUAAUGGUGUGGUGGGCUACCACAGUGUGAUACAAAACAAGGGUAAAGUACAGAAUAGUUAAGAAUAGAUUCUAUCUGUCAUUUUAUCGUACAGCCUGUAAAACCUUUAAACCUUUUCAACACCUUUUCAAAAUUUUCUUUCAAGCCCACUAAGUUUGUCUUGACUAACUGUACUUGUCUAGUAGUAAAAAUGUAGGACUUGCAGUAAAGUUUGCCAAAUGUCCAUUUCCUGAUGUGAAUUGACUUGCUUGUUCCACCUAAUUUUCUCUUCUUGUCCUUCACAGCAACAGUUUAAAAACAACAAAGAAAGUGUUUUGUGGAAUCUGACAUCAUCUCUGCCUUACGAGUUGCGAAUACGUUGUGAUCCCACCAAUGAGUGUGUACAGUGUCCUCGUAGUGAGGUCAUCGUGGUUCCACCGGUAUGCAAACAGUGAGGCUGUGGCUUACUACAAUGUGACAGUGAGGAAAGUAUCCGGGGAAUUUAGCAAUCAGGACAGUUUCAGAACUGAAGAUUCAUCUCUCACCAUGAUCCUGUCUUACUCUGUAUACAACAUCAGUAUCAGAGCUUUAAACACUGCUGGAUCAUCUCCUGUUUCCAGUAUAGCCACUGAGCAAAUGGAUGAAUGGAGGGAUUCAUUUGGGCCAUUCAGUGUCAACAUAACCAGCCACAACCAUUUUAGUCUGUCCUGGAACAGGUCCGUCUCAAGUGUUUGUUACUCUGUGGAGUGGUGGGCCAAAGAACAGAUACCAACUUUUUGUACAUUCUACGAAAAGCAGACACGCAAAGAAAUAACUGGGAAAACUGAAACCUAUAGGAGCAUAGGACGUGACGUGUGGCCAAUUUUUCAGCCAUAUACAAGAUAUUAUUUCGUCCUGCACACCAGACCGUACCCAGACACCUGCAACAUGAAGAAUGUAAACAACAGUGAGACGACCUAUGGCACAGCCCAAGCUUACUUCACUGAAGGAAGUCCUAUCAGUGCUCCUGGGAAUGUGAGCAUUUUUAAUAUUACCCGGCAUUCCUCAGUAAUCACAUGGUGCCCCGUGUCUGAGGAAGACCUGCGUGGAUUCUUAUUAGGCUACUACAUCUACUUGACAUGGGAAAAUAAUGAAACAUCCUUCAAAGUGGAUCCCAGCGUAAACAGUUAUGAGCUGCAGAAUCUUGAAAGCAACAGUGCGUACCGCGUGCAGCUGUCUGCAUUUACAGCGGCUGGAGAAGGAGAGCGAAGUGAUUUCAAACACUUUGUCACAAACCUACUAGAAUUCACAGCUUUGAUCAGCAUUAUAGCCGCGGUUGUUGUGGGAAUAAUAAUUCUUUUACUAGCAGUUCACCUCAGCUGUCGACUUCUGCACAGACCAAAUCCUGAGAAUAGCAACGCUGUUCAGAAAACUGAAAUUGUCUAUGAUCUGGUAAGCAAGAGACAAUAUAAUGAUGGAACCAUACAUUUCAUUGCCAAGGAAAAGAAUAUACAAAAACAUUAUAUGAAAAAAUUAACACCAGUGAGACAGUACCAGAAGUACAAUGAUGACCUGAGAUAAUACAAUGGUAAUACAAUGGUUUAUAUGGUAUGCCAUGAUACUUCACAGAAUAUCAUUUUGAUGUGAUUAUGAUCAUCAAAAAAGCUAAUUGUUUUCAUGUAUUUUAAUCUUAUUUUAAUUUUUUUUUUUUUUUUUUACAAAUAUUGUGAAAUCACUCAUAAUAUAAUUUCAUGAACUUUUUCAUAAAAACAUGAAAUUAUCUGAUGUUUUAAGAGACAUAUUGAGCCAUAAGGGUCUUAAGGGGUCUGCUCUUUGAUAUUAUUUACUGUUUUUUUUAUCCAUGAUUCUGCUUGUUGUUUGGAUCGCAUGAGAUUGAUUUUGAAAACAGAUACAUUUUAAAAAUUAAUAAGCUGUGAAGGCUUGUUUGUUCAAUUUUUUCCCUAAGAAUUAAUACUUAUAGAUUAUGCCAAACUAUUUUCAAACCUGCUUUCUUCAUUAUAUUAGGGCAGUUGUAUCAACCUGAAAUUUUUGACUUUAUGACACCCAAAAAAAAUAUCAAAAUGACUUAAUACAACCAUUAAAAACAUGCACAUCAUAGAAGAAGUGUAUCCAAAUAAGUAUAUGUACGCUACCAUUCAAAUGUUUGUGUCAAAAGUAUCUUUAAAGCUGCAUUCAUUAGAUGAGAUAUUAAUACAAUAUAAAAUAACAUCCCAUGGAAAUUUUUUGUAAGAGUACUUUUUUUUUUUACUACAUUCCAGUUCAGAUGUUUGAACAUAUUUAUGAGUGAAAUCACUUUUUGAAUCCUUUGGCCACUUUCUGCACUGUGUUUCUUCUGCAGGGUAUCCUGGAGCCACUGAACAGACAGAGGUUAGAGGAAAGUGAGGGAUGUGAUUACACUGCAGUCCAGUACAGUGUUUGUCGUUGGGAGCAAGAGGGAGGCAUCUCCUCUCUGUAGCCCUCCCACUGCUCAGGCUGGUGUGCCCACCACCCUUCUCCUCAGUGAAGAUGAGGACAGCCCAUCCAUCCCGGAGCAGAUCCCACCACCUGACAUCCCAACACAAGUCCUUCAAGGGGCGUUUCUAGGAUUUUCAUUUUAGGGGGGCUCAGCCCCCAACAAGGGUAUGAUUAAAAAAAUAUAUUAUUUGAGGUAGGGUAGGGUAGGGUUGUAUACUACUAACCUUAUUGUAAUCCACUAUUCCAUUGUAUUCCCUGUAUUUCAUAUAUGGGAGUAGGAGUACUGACUGAGCCAUAUACAACACUGUAAAACAUUUUUGAAAAAUGUAGAUGUGACCAGUCACUAGAAAAUUUUGAGUUGGGAAUGUAGAUUUUUUUUACAAUGAAGACUUCCUGAUUCAUUAUUAGGACAUUCAUGUUUAUCCUUUGACGAUACCACUGUUUUUUCUUAUGAAAUGUACGUGGAAAUUGGCAGACAAUUAAAACAACAUAAGGGUUCAAUGACUGCAAUUAAUCUUGUGAACACAGUGGUAUUGUGUGUGAGAGGCUGUCUACGUUCUAUUCUCAUUUUUUGAAAAAUUUAGAUGUGACCAGUCAUUAGAAAAUUUUGAGUUGGGAAUGUAGAUUUUUUUUACAAUGAAGACUUCCUGAUUCAUUAUUAGGACAUUCAUGUUUAUCCUUUGACGAUACCACUGUUUUUUCUUAUGAAAUGUACGUGGAAAUUGGCAGACAAUUAAAACAACAUAAGGGUUCAAUGACUGCAAUUAAUCUUGUGAACACAGUGGUAUUGUGUGUGAGAGGCUGUCUACGUUCUAUUCUCACCUGACUUGCUCAUUUGCAGACCUACUCCCGCACUACAAGAAAAAAUGUUGUAUAUCCAUCUACAAUGAAAUAUAUAUAUAUUAGCCUUUAUAAUCAACAAUACGGUUGGUUAUACAUCAAGUCACCCCCUGAAAAUUUAUUUCAUUUCAAAUCAUUUAACUAACCAGCUAAUAUUCAUUAAGAAUACAGACAAAACAUGUAUUAAUGCAAUUGUCUAUUGGCAAUAUGUUUAAUCUAUUCUAUAUUUAUUUCUAUUUAUUAAAAAUAACAACAUGAAUUAUCAUGGCACUUCUAUAAAUCAAUUACUUAAAAAAAAAUCACAAAUCCCUUUAAUCUACUCUUACUCUAAUAUAUGUAUCAUGAUACACUAUGAUUCAUUAUUACUUAAUACAAAAAUAUAUUUAAAAAUACAAAACAAAAUAACUCCACAUGAUGUUUCUCUCUCUGUGCCAUUUAGUGCUCUCAGACGUGUGUCUUUAAUCAUUUCUGUGCAUGGCUGCAUAAUGUAAUGCCGAAAUACACAAUAAUAUGUUUUGAAUUUUAAAAAGUAAAUUAAAAUAAAUCACUAUUGUUUUCUAAAGUAUGUUUUCA